GAAUACUCACAAAUCUGGCUGCAACAUCUGUCACCCCAUUGAUUGUCAGGUUGAUUCAGCUGAUCUGGCUGGCUACGUGGGUGUCCCCUUUUUCCCUCACCACUCCAUGUGCAUCCCUCCCACAACUGUGUGCUCAGUUGAAGAGGAUGACUGUCCCCAAGAGAGGAGCACUGGUCUUCGGUCAAGGGUAUAUGAGUAGCUCCCUGCUAGAACCUCCAAACAAGCUCUGAAGAAUACUCACAAAUAUUUUCCAAAUUCUGGAGAAAUCAGCUAGAGUAAAACAAAUAUGCUCCAAAUUUUGUUCAUAGGAGUAUACUUU
rnacentral:snRNA from 1 species